rnacentral:rRNA from 1 species
AUUGAACGCUGGCGGCAUGCCUUACACAUGCAAGUCGAACGGCAGCAUGAUCUAGCUUGCUAGAUUGAUGGCGAGUGGCGAACGGGUGAGUAAUACAUCGGAACGUGCCCUGUAGUGGGGGAUAACUAGUCGAAAGAUUAGCUAAUACCGCAUACGACCUGAGGGUGAAAGUGGGGGACCGCAAGGCCUCAUGCUAUAGGAGCGGCCGAUGUCUGAUUAGCUAGUUGGUGAGGUAAAGGCUCACCAAGGCGACGAUCAGUAGCUGGUCUGAGAGGACGAUCAGCCACACUGGGACUGAGACACGGCCCAGACUCCUACGGGAGGCAGCAGUGGGGAAUUUUGGACAAUGGGCGAAAGCCUGAUCCAGCAAUGCCGCGUGUGAGAAGAAGGCCUUCGGGUUGUAAAGCACUUUUGUCCGGAAAGAAAUGGCUCUGGUUAAUACCUGGGGUCGAUGACGGUACCGGAAGAAUAAGGACCGGCUAACUACGUG